rnacentral:rRNA from 1 species
UACGUAGGGGGCAAGCGUUAUCCGGAAUUACUGGGUGUAAAGGGAGCGUAGACGGUAAUGUAAGCCUGGAGUGAAAGGCGGGGGCCCAACCCCCGGACUGCUCUGGAAACUAUGUUACUAGAGUGCAGGAGAGGUAAGCGGAAUUCCUAGUGUAGCGGUGAAAUGCGUAGAUAUUAGGAGGAACACCAGUGGCGAAGGCGGCUUACUGGACUGUAACUGACGUUGAGGCUCGAAAGCGUGGGGAGCAAACAGG